GCUUGAUGAGCUGUCCCUUAGACCAGCAGCAGCGAUCUUCACAGGCUUUAGAUGAGAUCCCCCAUCAGCCCAUAAUUCCAUGCAUCAUCUUUAUGAUUCACAUGCUCUGUCAGUGUGACCACCUCCUGGAGACACCGUAGUCUUUCAGCAACGGUAGAACAUUGCUCCAUUGUACUGCUGAAGAGUGGAUUGGUUUCAAAUUACUCUGAAAGGCAGCCAACAGAACAGCUAACACCAUGGGACCAAGUUUUCACCUGGCCUUCAGUCUGGUUUUCAAGUCUAUGUUCCCAGGAUCUUGUAGCCUCUUCCACUAGAAGAAGAGGAAAAGACAGCACAGAAGGAAUUGAGAACAGCAUGAUUUUCAAUACAGUCUGUGACCUAAAAUAAUUUUCCUCCUGGGGAUCAAUACAGUCCUAAUCAAGGUCAUUGUAAGGACUGAUAUUUUUCACAAAUUUCCUUUUACAAGACAACUUUCUUAAAUGAACUUUUUCAUGGGUCUGUUUUGUCAUGAUUACCAGAACUGAAUUUCUCACUUUUAAC